rnacentral:rRNA from 1 species
GAACCGUGCGAACGUUGUUCGGAAUCACUGGGCUUAAAGGGCGCGUAGGCGGGCCGCAAAGUCAGGGGUGAAAUCCUCCAGCUCAACUGGGGAACUGCCUUUGAUACUGGCGGUCUAGAGUGGGGUAGGGGCAUGCGGAACAAUGGGUGGAGCGGUGAAAUGCGUUGAUAUCCAUUGGAACUCCGGUGGCGAAAGCGGCGUGCUGGACCUCUACUGACGCUGAUGCGCGAAAGCCAGGGGAGCAAACGGGAUUAGAUACCCCGGUAGUCCUGGCCCUAAACGUUGGGUACUAGGUAGUGGACUUCACAUGGGUUCACUGCCGGAGCAAAAGUGCUAAGUACCCCGCCUGGGGAGUAUGGUCGCAAGGCUGAA